UACAGAGGUCUCAAGCGUUGUUCGGAUUCAUUGGGCGUAAAGGGUGCGUAGGCGGCGCGGUAAGUCGGGUGUGAAAUCUUGGAGCUUAACUCCGAAACUGCAUUCGAUACUGCCGUGCUUGAGGACUGGAGAGGAGACUGGAAUUUACGGUGUAGCGGUGAAAUGCGUAGAUAUCGUAAGGAAGACCAGUGGCGGAAGGCGGGUCUCUGGACAGUUCCUGACGCUGAGGCACGAAGGCCAGGGGGAGCAAACGGG
rnacentral:rRNA from 1 species